rnacentral:rRNA from 1 species
UGUGUGGGAGAGAUGAGGCGGGAAAGCAGGGGCAGAGGCCGGCAAAGGGUGGCGGCGAGCGGCCUCGAUCGGUUCGAAAACAACGUAUAUGGGAAGUGAGGUUUUCGAGGGUGGAAAGACUGUGGCGGCCGGCCUAACCGGCAGGUACAUUUUAACAAGAAGAACUUAGGACUCCAAUCGAUCGCCGGCAUCCUUAUCCUAGCAGCGCGGUAGAGGCCGCCGCACAUCCUACGGGCAGGUUCUAACCCUGACUCCGCCGCCGCCGAUUUACAUGGCGUUCUUGCGCAGCCGUGAGUGGACGAAGAUGGACACAAGAGCAACUAACUAACCUUCAAACCUUCACCACUAGAGCCGCUACCUCGACCUAGACUUGCACCUCCUCUUCGGCCGCCGCCACCGCGCCUCGCUGAGGCCCUGCAGCCUCAGCAGCCACGACUUGCGCCUCCGCAGGACGCCGCCCCCGCGGCGCGGCCGGCUCCUCCGGAGGUCGAGCUGCGCGGUCGGCCGCGGCCGCGGCGCCCGCCACGAGCUCAAGUCGUAGGACUCCUCGAGCCGCAGGCGGCUCCCGCUCUUGCUGCAGCCGCGGCUGCUGCUGCUCCUCCUCCGCUGGGGGAGCGGGGGCGGAGGCGGCGGCGCCGUGAUGAUGGUCGUGGACGACGUCGGCGUUGUUGAGCAGUGGGUUCUCGACAAGGGUCGGCGCCGGCGGCCGCCGCCAGGCGGCCGCUACGGGCACGGCGUCGUAACCCGGCUCGAGCCGAAGAAGGCGGGGCGCCGCGGCGGGGGCCUGUACUCCUAGGACGUCGACGUCGUCGUCCGCGUGCGCGGCGGGGGCGGCGGCGGCCGCCGGGUCGGCGGCCACCGGUUCUUCUCGGCGGCGCCGGGCGCGAGGGCGUCGAGCGUCAUGGCGCCGCACUGGAAGAUGGCGGCGUGGCCGGCGACCCUUAGGGUAUAGACCCUAACGCCGUUCGUCCACAUGAACCCACCCAAACUGUGACGUGUACGACGACGUUCCCGCAUGCUAGCUCGCCGCUAGUUCAAGGCGCCGCAGCUGCGGCUGUAUUUGAAGUUGGAGUCGCUGAUGCUCCUGCUGUACUUCGUCUACUUCCCGGACAGGUUCCUCCUCAAGCACGUGCACGACGCCGCCGUCUCAUGGCCGAAGAGCGCCCCGUCGAGGUUCAUGUCUCCGCAGUGGGACGUGUUCACGCCGGCCACCCUCCGCGCGUACCCGGUCAAGGAGCCGUUCUUCCGAAUGCUGUUCCGCCGCUAGUUUACGUUACCAUCUCUCCGGCACUGGUUGAAGCUCGGCUCGUGGAUACUACGCCUCGACGAGUUACUUCAACGACGACUUCCGCGUCUACAGCUGGAGUUGAACUCGUAUAGAGUUGGUUGAAGUGUUUCAGGGUUUUCCCUAUUCUCGUCGGAACCGGACGUUGAGGUGGUACCUAGUAUACUACCGAGACUUGAUUUCUCUGGUUUCCAGCUACGAGGGGGACUCUACCAACGCUAGGGAGUAGCCAUGGGGGAAGACUGGCUCGUAGGUGGUUAGACCGUACCGGUUAGUAUAGGGGAGAAAAAUUUAUUACUCCUUCGUCGGUCUCUAGUAUCGUCCUCCGGUCUCCACCGGUGUCCCCGACAAGGUUGGACCCGUACCUCCCACUCGGUGGGAGGAGGUUGUGUUGGGUACGGUGAGAAGAGCAGCAGUAGCAGGCGACGUCGUAGUAGUCCUAAGAGGUUUUGGCGGCGCCGUCGACGGGGGCCGCGGGGUAGCCGGAGUAAGGCCAAGCUGGGCUACCGCGGUAGUAGUAGCAGUUCGUUGGUUGUGGUGGUGGUGGUGGGGGCGACUUUUUCUUCGGUAUGACAUUUAAAAGACCCUUCGGUCAUAGAAAAACGGGGAGGCCGCAAAGUCGCAAAAGCCAGAACGCGGCCCCACCAAAGUACAUCACCUAACCUAAGUACUGACAUAAAGGGUACGACGGGUUUCACUUUACAGGGAAGAAGAGACGCGAGAGACGUAGCCGCGUAACCAGGGUAUUAAGAGCGACAGUCUAUGAUUGGAGUCGAGUAGAGUGGUAGACUCUACCUAAAUAUGGUAACAACAUCUGUUUGGACAGUGACUUUAAGUCGUCAUGGCUAUGGUAUUCUAUUCUCCUUGGAAAUGAAACCCUUAAUAAG